AUUUAUUAUUUUUAACAAUACAAAAUAUUUAUACAUAUAUUAUACAUUAUUACACACAAAAACCCUGCCUUACUUUAUUUUCACUAGGAGUAGUUUUAAUUCUAUUCAUCUUAAUUUUUAUUUUAUAAUUUAAAUCUAUAUUAACAUCUGACAUCAUUUCUUUCUCCAACCAGAAAUUUGAUACGUACAAUGAAUCCAGGUUAUCGUACUGCAAUAUGUAACGAACUUUGUUUCUGUGACGUAUUCGUUUUAUUCCAAUUAUGACUAAUUCCGAUUUGUCCGGUAUUUCUUCCAAACGCCGACACUGUAUAACCUUAACAUGGCCAUUUAUUUCUUCGAUUUGUUGUUUAUCGUUUUAAUUAAAAGGUAAAUCAUCCGUAUCAUAAAGAAGAAGGAUACGUUUUAAUUCCGUUUAACGAAAUGCUAUUAAUAGUCCUCCCGACAGAAGAAACUAUUAUAACAUUUAAUACUAAUGGAGACAAAAUUAUAAAAACAUCUCUUUCAUGAAAUUCAGUAUUAAGAUUCCAUGGGAUGUAAAGAAUAAAUAUUUAAAAAAAAAAAAAAAAUUAAAAACCUACAUUCAACACGGGGACUUAUUUCCAAGUUAAUUUUGUUAUUCAGACCAUGACUUUGGUGGCAAGUGGUGUUUCAUUCCGAGGACAGAAACACGCGAGAUAAUAAACGGAAUGUUUUAAAUAGCUGUACUUGGAGUGCAAAUUAGCUCUCUUUUACACUAGGCUUUAUACCAGCCUAUCUCUCUUGAUAUGGUUGGACCGACUAUGCCUCUCAGUCCUCGGUUGAAUGUUUCAUUUAAAUGUAUAUGUCUAUGACUGUAUCUAUCUCUAUAUUUUAAAUUUGUAAUAUUUGAAUACCGAAUACUACUAUAUUUAAUCGUAAUGUUACUUUAGCCUUUGGUUUCAGAUGAAGCGAAUGAAAGAAAUUAAUCGAAAAUAAAUAUAACACAUUUAUUCUGCUAAAGAUUAACUACUCCCUUUCUACCAAUUUGUUUUCAUUCAAUUCUGACACGGCCAAUACCAAAAAUAUAUAGGGGUUAAAUAAUAAUAAUACAAAUUGGCGCGGGACAGCUAAUAUAAUCUGGGGUUUCGAGUUAUUUGACAUGAACUAAUAGUGGUAUUUACACAAUAAAUUGUAAUAUUUCACAUUUAAACUUUUUGAAAUACUAUUGUGUAUAAGUGUUCUAAAUGUUUUAAAUAUGUUUCAUUGUCAAAAUUUGACUUUAAAA